GUGAGGAAUCUUGCGCAAUGGGGGAAACCCUGACGCAGCGACGCCGCGUGGAGGAUGAAGGCCCUCGGGUCGUAAACUCCUUUCGACAGGGAAGAAAUGCUCUUCGGAGUUUGACGGUACCUGUAGAAGAAGCCCCGGCUAACUACGUGCCAGCAGCCGCGGUAAUACGUAGGGGGCAAGCGUUGCUCGGAAUUACUGGGCGUAAAGGGUCUGUAGGCGGUUGGGUAAGUUGGCUGUGAAAUCUCCCGGCUUAACUGGGAGGGUGCGGUCAAAACUGCUCGACUUGAGGGCCGGAGAGGCAGGUAGAAUUCCUGGUGUAGCGGUGAAAUGCGUAGAGAUCAGGAGGAAUACCGGUGGCGAAGGCGGCCUGCUGGACGGCACCUGACGCUGAAAGACGAAAGCUGGGGGAGCAAACAGG
rnacentral:rRNA from 1 species